CCCCUGUGGAGAGGAUCCGGGGAUAAAUCUCAGCUUAUUUAGGAGCGUGAUCUACAUUUAUUGCACUUAAUGUGAUCUCUAACGUGUCCAAAAGGGGCCCAUAAAUCGCAAUCUGGCCGGCGCUGCCAGCAGGGCCCCGGGCUGGCCCCUCCCCGGCUGGGGCGAGCUGCCGUGAGUUCCUAGGUCUGUUUGCUCCCCGGGCCCUGGGGCUCCCGCCCUGGCCCGCGCAGCCGGAGCCGCGUGCCCCGUGAGGACCCUGCCCACGCGGACCCGGCCUCUGUCGAGACCAAACCCAGCCAGGCAACUGCAAGCAUCCUCUCCAGGCUGGGUGUGAAAAGGCUUCUAUUUCGCCCUUGCCGCGCUGUAGGGACAGAGGACACAGGUGACCCGAGCCUCCCAAGGUCAAAGGCAGAGGAGGGAGAGGCGGAUUCUAAGAGCACCGUGGUCACUGGGAUGUCUAUAAACACACUUCUCUGUCUACACAAUAGUGGGGAGUCUGUGGUAUGGACAACCCUCCAUGGUUUACAAGGCAUGUCCCCACCCAGCCUUCCCACACCCCAGAAGACACAAACAAGGGCCCUGGGAGACAGGCACCACUUGUUCACAUUCACAGGGCUAAUGGACAGCGAAGCUGGGCUUGGGAUGUGUGGCACUUGAAUGAACCCUGCAAAGACGCAGGUGUGUGUGUGUGUGUGUGUGUGCAGUGCACAGGCACUGGCACCUGCGGGAGCACUCCCGGCAGAGAUCCCGAAAACACUCGAGGCCACCCUGUGCAUGUUUAAGUCCCUUUUUCCUCCUUUUCUCCCAGCUCAGAGAAGCCGUGCCUGGCUAUUAGGAGCAUGUGCCUAGCUCAGCCUGUGUCUCGAGAGUGCUUUUGGGGCUGAGUGGGCAAGGGGUGGGUCCAUUCUGGGAAUGAUAAAAGCAGCUUCCGGAGCAGCUCUGACAUCACAGGUCUCUCUCUGCUCGGGGUCUGACCAUAGCCUCAGCCUCUGUCUAGCUAUCUGCCCAGCCCCAAGAGACAGCGCUAUCACCUGUCUGUGCACACACGUGCUGGGGUGCAAGGUUAAGCUGCCAAGGACCCAGCAGAGCUGCUGUGAGCAUCGGGACGGACACAGCAGGUGGAGCGGCCUGGGUUUUCCUCUGGCGAAUUUCUGUAGAUGGUGUCGCGUCCGCACUGAGGGACACCAUUGUUCUUGGAAGAGCGGUUGCUGAGCCACAGGCCGUGUGCCCCUCUCCGAGGCUCCUGCAGUGGAAGGUAAGCUCAGAGCCACCCCGGCAGGGCUGCACGGGGCAGGGGCGGCGGGGGUGGGGGUGGCUGCGCCUCCUUCCUGCCCGGCCACACAGGGGUGGGCCAGCGCCUCCUCCCUGCCUGGCCGGGCUGGGCGCUUGCCACCCCUGCGACUCCGGGGCCCAUUCCAGUCUCCUCUCCCUGCUGUGUUUGAGAACUGUCAGUGGAACGAAUAAAUGACCUGUGUUUAGAUCCCUGCUGCGCUGG
rnacentral:lncRNA from 1 species